rnacentral:rRNA from 1 species
CCUACGGGAGGCAGCAGUGGGGAAUUUUGGACAAUGGGCGAAAGCCUGAUCCAGCAAUGCCGCGUGCAGGACGAAGGCCUUCGGGUUGUAAACUGCUUUUGUACGGAACGAAACGGUCUCUUUUAAUACAGGGGGCUAAUGACGGUACCGUAAGAAUAAGCACCGGCUAACUACGUGCCAGCAGCCGCGGUAAUACGUAGGGUGCGAGCGUUAAUCGGAAUUACUGGGCGUAAAGCGUGCGCAGGCGGUUAUAUAAGACAGAUGUGAAAUCCCCGGGCUCAACCUGGGACCUGCAUUUGUGACUGUAUAGCUAGAGUACGGUAGAGGGGGAUGGAAUUCCGCGUGUAGUAGUGAAAUGCGUAGAUAUGCGGAGGAACACCGAUGGCGAAGGCAAUCCCCUGGACCUGUACUGACGCUCAUGCACGAAAGCGUGGGGAGCAAACAGGAUUAGAUACCCUGGUAGUCCACGCCCUAAACGAUGUCAACUGGUUGUUGGGUCUUCACUGACUCAGUAACGAAGCUAACGCGUGAAGUUGACCGCCUGGGGAGUACGGCCGCAAGGUUGAAACUUAAAGGAAAUUGACGGCNGAGAGNGCGAGACGACGACGAGGAGGAGG